GCGGAGGUGGCGGAAUUGGCAGACGCGGUGGUUUGAGGGGCCACUACCUGUCAAGGGUGUGAGGGUUCAAGUCCCUCCCUCCGCA
rnacentral:tRNA from 1 species